UGGCUUUUUGCGGAUGGGGGCGCGCAUUGGGUUGGGCAUCGCAGGACAAGUCUAAUGUGCCAGACAGUAGAAGUAAACUAAAGAGUCCUGGGAUUAUAGAUAUUGAUUUGUUUACUCUUCAAGACACAUACGCUUUCUGGUUGCGCGGCAAAUGAGCAAAUGGCGGAAAAUUAAGGAGGGAAAGGAGCAUCUGAUGGUGCAGGAGUAGCAGGAGCAGCACCAGAAACCGAAAAACAGAAACAGAAGCGACAACUGCAGCACAAAGAUUGCAAUCUCCGCUGGCAGCAACAUCCCUUCGCCCGGCGAUCCUCCCCUGCUUUCUUUCAGUCCCUGGGCAUUCCCUUGCUGGGAAACGAUGUCCAGCAGCUGCUGCUGUUCCUACACGACACUCUGACCCCCAUCCCCCCGUCUUGCUUCCUUCUCCCCCUUUGGCGCAAUCCCUUUCUUUUUCCUUCGUGGCGCUUUUGCACGGGCGACACUUUGACGCGGACAUGUUCAUUUAUCCGGAGAUUCGGGCCACAAGAUGGAAGCAGGAGAUACAUGUAGCCAGGACUAUCGAAAAGGUGGAGGAAUGAGCCCACGCAUUUCUUUGAUUGAAAUUAAUAUAAGCGGGUAUCAAUCACGAAUGGGUUACAUAAUACCCCAGCUAAGAUGUAGAUAUCGAGUAUAAGAUAUCAAAACGAAAGCUUUUCAAACAUUCAUUCUUAGAAGCCACACACGGUCGGAGGUUGGAUUACCAUAGUUCUCAACGACUAUAUCAUCGGGUUACCUCAAAGGAACCUUCUGGACGCAGUGACAUUUCCCCGAACUCGUGGCUUCCAAAUGAAUGGGGAGUGAGGAAAGGAUGGGCAAACAGGCCAUAUAACUCGGCUUAAUUAGGCCAAACAAAGAUGCACCUUGCCACACGAUCGCUCAUCGAUCAUUUUCCGAUUGAACUGGCCGGAGCCCUGAUAAUCCCGGUACAUAUAUAUAACCUUUUCUCCUCCUGUCUCUUCGCAUCGUUCUCCUCCCUUUGUAUGUUGAGUUUUUUUUUAUUAUAUUGGUUUUCUUCUGAAUGGUUAAGCCUCUCUUAUUGUGCACUCGAGUUUGUCAUUCGAUAUGAUGGCCCCGUUGACAGGCCCCGUUUUUGAUGAAGACAAUCGCUGGCGCUUGUCUUGGGUACGUAUAACAUAUAGCAUGCAUGCCUAUAUGCUCCUGGUUCCCCUCCGGCUGGCCCUUUUGGAGUCGGAAUCGAAUUCGGAAUCGGUGGUGGCAUGUGCAAAGGUCAGCUGGCUGCAAAGAGGGCAAUGGCAUUCCGCGGUUAACAUUUACCUGGCAUUAGCCCGCCCUGGAGCCCUUUCCUAUAUACCCAAUGGAUGCCCAUUGGAGACCCCGAGACCUGAGAGCCGGGGAACCCGCCGUAACCCGUCGCAACCCCCUGAUCUAACCAACUGACUCUGCUUGCUGGCCAAGUGGCGCCUGCAUCCCGUCGCGCGUCGUCUGCAUAUGCGGAAUAUGCGUGAGCGUCGCCACGAAAUGAGACUGGAGAACAAGCUCAGACGCCCGAUGUUCCCCCCGC